UUUCCAGCCGCCGCGGUAAAACGUAGGAUCCGAGCGUUAUCCGAAUUCACUGGGCGUAAAGCGCGUGCAGGCGGUUCGGUAAGUUGGAUGUGAAAUCUCCCGGCUCAACUGGGAGAGGUCGUUCAAUACUGUCGGACUCGAGGACGGUAGAGGGAGGUGGAAUUCCCGGUGUAGUGGUGAAAUGCGUAGAUAUCGGGAGGAACACCAGUGGCGAAGGCGGCCUCCUGGACCGUUCCUGACGCUCAGACGCGAAAGCUAGGGGAGCAAACGGGAUUAGAUACCCUUGUAGUCC
rnacentral:rRNA from 1 species